rnacentral:misc_RNA from 1 species
GAUGAAGAACGCAGCGAAAUGCGAUAAGUAAUGUGAAUUGCAGAAUUCAGUGAAUCAUCGAAUCUUUGAACGCAUCUUGCGCUCCUUGGUAUUCUGAGGAGCAUGCCUGUUUGAGUGUCAUUAAAUUCUCAACUACACUGACUUUGAAUUGGUGUGGCUUGGAUUUGGGGGGAAAAUUGUUGUGGGCUUUUUGUAUAGUCUGCUCCCCUGAAAUUGAUUAGCGGUACCUUUGUGGAACUGUCUACAGGUGUGAUAAUUAUCUACAUCUUAGACAUCUGCUGGAAUGCUGCUUUCUAAACCUUACUUGUAUUGACAAUCUUGACCUCAAAUCAGGUAGGACUUCCCGCUGAACUUAAGCAUAUCAAUAAGCGGAGGA